AUGCUUUUUCAAAAGCGUGCCCCCCAUGUUUUUUGCUCUUGCAGUAGAAAUAACUUUAGUUUGUCAAUUUUUCAGGGUCCUAGGAAUAGGUCAUCACCUGCAAGGCUUUUUAAGUUGAACAAAGAUCUCGAUGAAGACCAAAAAAAUGUUAUCAGAGGCAUAGACUUUGGGGGCUUGUUGGAUAUCACAGCUACAACCAUGCCCAGUGAUCUCAGCCAGUGGAUCAUGAAACACCACGACCCAGAAAAGUCUCAAAUUGUUAUACCAGAUAGAGGCAAAAUACCAGUAGAUGAAGAUAGUGUUAGGAGGAUUUGGGGUUUGCCCAACAGUGACAGGAAAGUAUGUUUUGAAAUGAAUCUAGAUGUUAUAAGGGAAUUCAGCAGUAUUUUCAAGAUCGAGGGAAAAACGCCCCUACAUUGA
rnacentral:rRNA from 1 species